CUUUUUGUCCAGAUAAGUUCAGCGGUUUCUUGGGGAGACCAUCUCUGGUUUGAAGGUGGAGCCAGCAGAAUAUCAUUCCAACAAUUAAAAGCCCUGAUGUAACAUUAGCAACAAUUUUUAACAUUAUGGAAUUAAUUGACAUGGUAUUGAGUAACUGGUAUGUUAAAAAAGA